AGUGGGAUUGGAAUUUGAACCCAAGAAUGGGCUCUUGACAAUUAGCCCAUAGUAAAAAAAAUUGAAAGCUCACAACUUUCACUACUUUUGCUGCUUCUUGUGAGCUUUUCCAGCAAACAAUUUGAAAUGUGCAACAAAAAAUGGCGGCAAACUACGAGCGUUUGUAACGUUUCGGCAAUCUCUAUCCACAAAUGAUAGCAAAAUUAGCCCAAUUUGGGAAAUUAGGGUUUCUGGAAUCCCCAGAAACCUCUUUCUUCCUCCACCUCUUUGUGUAGAGGAUCCAGGAAAUAGAGAUGCUGGCCAUAGCCUUGAGAGCUGUAAAAAAGUAUUCAUCUCCAAUCUCUCCCAUGGGCAGUCAGUGAUUGUGCAGUCAUAAUGUUAAGAGAUGGUUGAUAUUAUAUGCUGUAGUGCAUGCUAUCUGAGACAUUACGAGUUGUUACACUUGCCAGGUAUUUUAAGCAACUACAAUUGUCUAAAGGCCUUGUGUUGUAAUCCAAGACUUUGAAUGUCUGAAUGGGUGGGUACUUUUAUCUUGAAACAAACUGACACUGUUGUCCAUCUCACGGCUGGGUACUGAGUACAUGCUUCUGCCAAUAAAAUGGACUGUCAAUAACUUGUGGGUAUUGAGAUGGGCAUUUUUUGAGUUUAGGAUGCCCUUGUAUUGCCUACAUACAGUCGCAAUUUGUAGACCCCCCUCCGUCAACCUAAAUAUGGUCAUGAAAUUGUAGACAGUGUCUCCUCAAUUGCUAAGAGUCCUCGUCAUCAGCAGCACUAUUGAAUUUAUACAAGUUCUAGCCAUUUUUUGAGUUUAGGAUGCCCUUGUAUUGCCUACAUACAGUCGCAAUUUGUAGACCCCCCUCCGUCAACCUAAAUAUGGUCAUGAAAUUGUAGACAGUGUCUCCUCAAUUGCUAAGAGUCCUCGUCAUCAGCAGCACUAUUGAAUUUAUACAAGUUCUAGCCAUUUUUUGUGUGGGGGAUUCUAGUUCCAAGGCCAGUAGUUUAAAUAUGAUAAGCAGCAUAUGUUUUUCUUGUUGGAGUAAUCACAUUUACAGUGCGUAAACAUGACUAAUUGUAUUGUAGUAUGUUUUGGAGCUAUCUUUCCUUGUGAUUUUUACUUGCCUACCUUAAAGAUGAAGAAACAUCUUUGAUAGCUGUUAAGAAGAACUAAAAUGGGUGGACUUUACGCUGUCAUUUAUAGGCUUCAUGAUGAAUGGCAUUGCACUCUUCAACCCUUUCUCAAUGAAAAGUCAAAUAUUUUUGUUGCAAUUUUCAUAAAAACCAUGGGUGGCUUUACUACAGCAAUGAUAUGUAUAUAGCUCUUUUUAUUUUUCUUACAAGUCUGAUAAUUGGGCAUUUGAAACUCUUAUUGGCUUAGCAAGUUUAGUUAAACUGCCUUAUCUAGCAGCUAAAUUUCUGCACCUUGCCUGCUUGCUGCUGCAAUGUAUCGAGGAUCUAACACUUCAUUUGUGGCAUACUAAUUCGCUUCAAUUCUGUAUCCAGAAUCAAUAUAUCGGGUUGCCCUUUUUCCUAGAGAUAAGCUGAUGAGUUUUGUACAUCUUUCUAUAUCUGUCUUAUUGUGAAAGGAAUAAAUAAAAAUAGCAUCUUUCAUAAAUUAUAUGUCUGAAUUUGUUGCCCUUCUGCUUUAUUAUCUUCAACAAGUACGACAACGACUUUACUGUUUCGUCUUGAGUGUACAGUUCAGUCUCCUUUGUCAUUUUGUUUUGCUUGCUGAUUUGCUGAAUCAUUAGAU